ACGGGUGAGUAACACGUGGGUGAUCUGCCUCGUACUCUGGGAUAAGCCUGGGAAACUGGGUCUAAUACCGGAUAGGACCACUGGUCGCAUGGCUGGUGGCGGAAAGUUUUUCGGUACGAGAUGGGCCCGCGGCCUAUCAGCUUGUUGGUGGGGUAAUGGCCUACCAAGGCGACGACGGGUAGCCGGCCUGAGAGGGCGACCGGCCACACUGGGACUGAGACACGGCCCAGACUCCUACGGGAGGCAGCAGUGGGGAAUAUUGCACAAUGGGCGCAAGCCUGAUGCAGCGACGCCGCGUGAGGGAUGACGGCCUUCGGGUUGUAAACCUCUUUCACCAGGGGCGAAUUUAGGACGGUACCUGGAGAAGAAGCACCGGCCAACUACGUGCCAGCAGCCGCGGUAAUACGUAGGGUGCGAGCGUUGUCCGGAAUUACUGGGCGUAAAGAGCUCGUAGGCGGUUUGUCGCGUCGUUCGUGAAAACCCGAUGCUUAACAUCGGGCGUGCGGGCGAUACGGGCAGACUUGAGUACUACAGGGGAGACUGGAAUUCCUGGU
rnacentral:rRNA from 1 species